rnacentral:rRNA from 1 species
UACGACGGGGGCUAGCGUUGUUCGGAAUUACUGGGCGUAAAGCGCACGUAGGCGGACUUGCCAGUCAGGGGUGAAAUCCCGAGGCUCAACCUCGGAACUGCCUCCGAUACAGCAAGUCUCGAGUCCGGAAGAGGUGAGUGGAAUUCCUAGUGUAGAGGUGAAAUUCGUAGAUAUUAGGAAGAACACCAGUGGCGAAGGCGGCUCACUGGUCCGGUACUGACGCUGAGGUGCGAAAGCGUGGGGAGCAAACAGG